GGUGCAAGCGAGGUACCAGUCACAUUGGAAAAACCGUGUGGCAAUGGGAAGACGUGAUGCGGAGUGAAGUUUAGUAUGAAGUCCGUGAGCUGUGCGUCAAGAAAAGCCGCUAUUGUUCAUACCAUACCCGUACCGUAAACCAACACAGGUGGAUGAGGAGAGAAUCCUAAGGCCGGCGGAAGAAGCAUUGUCAAGGAACUCGGCAAAAUGACCCCGUAACUUCGGGAGAAGGGGUGCCUGUGAGAGCAGGCCGCAGAGAAUAGGCUCAAGCAACUGUUUAGCAAAAACACAGGUCUAUGCGAAACCGAAAGGUGAGGUAUAUGGGCUGACGCCUGCCCGGUGCUGGAAGGUUAAGAGGAGAGGUUAGCGCAAGCGAAGCUUUGAAUUUAAGCCCCAGUAAACGGCGGCCGUAACUAUAACGGUCCUAAGGUAGCGAAAUUCCUUGUCGGGUAAGUUCCGACCCGCACGAAAGGCGUAAUGAUUUGAGCGCUGUCUCGACAAUGCAUCCGGUGAAAUUGAAGUACCAGUGAAGAUGCUGGUUACCUGCGCCAGGACGGAAAGACCCCAUGGAGCUUUACUCCAGUUUGGUACUGGGAUCCGGUACUGCAUGUACAGGAUAGGUGGGAGGCUGAGAAUCGGUAACGCCAGUUGCCGAGGAGCCGCUGUUGGGAUACCACCCUUGCAGUAUUGGGUUUCUAACCAGCCGCCGUGACCCGGCGGUGGGACAAUGCCAGACGGGGAGUUUGACUGGGGCGGUCGCCUCCGAAAGGGUAUCGGAGGCGCCCAAAGGUUCCCUCAGGAUGGACGGAAACCAUCCAAAGAGUGCAAAGGCAGAAGGGAGCUUGACUGCGACACCGACGGGUGGAGCAGGUACGAAAGUAGGGCUUAGUGAUCCGGUGGUAUUAAGUGGGAAUGCCAUCGCUCAACGGAUAAAAGCUACCCUGGGAUAACAGGCUUAUCACUCCCAAGAGUUCACAUCGACGGAGUGGUUUGGCACCUCGAUGUCGGCUCAUCGCAUCCUGGGGCUGUAGUAGGUCCCAAGGGUUGGGCUUUCGCCCAUUAAAGCGGUACGCGAGCUGGGUUCAGAACGUCGUGAGACAGUUCGGUCCCUAUCCGGCGUGGGCGUAGGAUAUCUGAGAGGAGCUGUCCUUAGUACGAGAGGACCGGGAUGGACGGGCCGCUGGUGCACCGGUUAGACUGCCAAGUCUAUAGCCGGGUAGCCAAGCCCGGAAGGGAUAAACGCUGAAGGCAUCUAAGCGUGAAGCCCCCCUCAAGAUGAGAUAUCCCAUCCGAAAGGAGUAAACCCCCUUGAAGACGACGAGGUCGAUAGGGCAGAGGUGGAAGUGUGGUAACACAUGGAGCUGACUGCUACUAAUAGGGUGAGGGCUUGACCG
rnacentral:rRNA from 1 species